GCUUACGGCCACACCGGCCUGAGUACGCCGCCUGAUCUCGUCCGAUCUCGGAAGCUAAGCAGGGUCGGGCCUGGUUAGUACUUGGAUGGGAGACCGCCUGGGAAUACCAGGUGCUGUAAGCU
rnacentral:rRNA from 1 species